rnacentral:rRNA from 1 species
UGGGGAAUAUUGGACAAUGGGCGCAAGCCUGAUCCAGCCAUGCCGCGUGAGUGAUGAAGGCCCUAGGGUUGUAAAGCUCUUUCACCGGUGAAGAUAAUGACGGUAACCGGAGAAGAAGCCCCGGCUAACUUCGUGCCAGCAGCCGCGGUAAUACGAAGGGGGCUAGCGUUGUUCGGAUUUACUGGGCGUAAAGCGCACGUAGGCGGACUAUUAAGUCAGGGGUGAAAUCCCGGGGCUCAACCCCGGAACUGGCUUUGAUACUGGUAGUCUUGAGUUCGAGAGAGGUGAGUGGAAUUCCGAGGUGAGAGGUGAAAUUCGUAGAUAUUCGGAGGAACACCAGUGGCGAAGGCGGCUCACUGGCUCGAUACUGACGCUGGGGUGCGAAAGCGUGGGGAGCAAACAGG